rnacentral:rRNA from 1 species
UUCCGUAGGGUAACCUGCGGAGGGAUCAUUACCGAGUUUACAACUCCCAAACCCAAUGUGAACCAUACCAAACUGUUGCCUCGGCGGGGUCACGCCCCGGGUGCGUCGCAGCCCCGGAACCAGGCGCCCGCCGGAGGGACCAACCAAACUCUUUCUGUAGUCCCCUCGCGGACGUUAUUUCUUACAGCUCUGAGCAAAAAUUCAAAAUGAAUCAAAACUUUCAACAACGGAUCUCUUGGUUCUGGCAUCGAUGAAGAACGCAGCGAAAUGCGAUAAGUAAUGUGAAUUGCAGAAUUCAGUGAAUCAUCGAAUCUUUGAACGCACAUUGCGCCCGCCAGUAUUCUGGCGGGCAUGCCUGUCCGAGCGUCAUUUCAACCCUCGAACCCCUCCGGGGGUCCGGCGUUGGGGAUCGGGAACCCCUAAGACGGGAUCCCGGCCCCGAAAUACAGUGGCGGUCUCGCCGCAGCCUCUCAUGCGCAGUAGUUUGCACAACUCGCACCGGGAGCGCGGCGCGUCCACGUCCGUAAAACACCCAACUUCUGAAAUGUUGACCUCGGAUCAGGUAGGAAUACCCGCUGAACUUAAGCAUAUCAAUAGGCGGAGGAA